CCCUUAGACGUUCUGGGCCGCACGCGCGCUACACUGACCAGUGCAACAAGCAUCCGUCCUUGGCCGACAGGCUCGGGCAAUCUUUGAACGCUGGUCGUGAUGGGGAUAGACUUUUGCAAUUUUUGGUCUUCAACGAGGAAUUCCUAGUAAACGCAAGUCAUCAACUUGCAUUGAUUACGUCCCUGCCCUUUGUACACACCGCCCGUCGCACCUACCGAUUGCAUGGUCCGGUGAAGCCUCCGGAUUGGCGCGCACCUCGGUGCCGCCGAGAAGUUGGCUAAACCUUACCAUUUAGAGGAAGGUGAAGUCGUAACA
rnacentral:rRNA from 1 species